AUCCCUAAGUCAUCGAUUUUAUUACAAUAGUGUAGGCCAUUUCUGCAUGAACAUAAUAAAUUAAGGACCCCAUCAAUCAUGAAAAAUGCUUGACAUUCAUUUUGACUAAAUGUUGUCCUUAAAAUGUCUCUCAACCAACAUUCAGAGCAAACCCACACCUGUGCACUUUGCUCUCCUUGAGGUACACAACUCUGUAUACUGUAUGUCGUCCUAUAUAAAGCACAGCUCAAAGCCGCUCUCUUCACAACACUGCCUGUGUGAUGAGUUCUCACUGAUUGGCACUCAAGUUAAUAGAUACAUUGUUCAGCACUCUUCCAUGUGGUGUUUGUCUGCAAUAUUGUGA
ensembl:lncRNA